CGGGUGAGUAACACGUAUCCAACCUGCCGUCUACUCUUGGACAGCCUUCUGAAAGGAAGAUUAAUACAAGAUGGCAUCAUGAGUCCGCAUGUUCACAUGAUUAAAGGUAUUCCGGUAGACGAUGGGGAUGCGUGCCAUUAGAUAGUAGGCGGGGUAACGGCCCACCUAGUCUUCGAUGGAUAGGGGUUCUGAGAGGAAGGUCCCCCACAUUGGAACUGAGACACGGUCCAA
rnacentral:rRNA from 1 species